GCAAGUCGAGCGAAGACUUCGGUCUUAGCGGCGGACGGGUGAGUAACGCGUGGGAACGUGCCCUUCUCUGCGGAAUAGCCUCUGGAAACGGAGAUUAAUACCGCAUACGCCCUUUGGGGGAAAGAUUUAUCGGAGAGGGAUCGGCCCGCGUUAGAUUAGGUAGUUGGAGGGGUAAUGGCCUACCAAGCCUACGAUCUAUAGCUGGUUUUAGAGGAUGAUCAGCCACACUGGGACUGAGACACGGCCCAGACUCCUACGGGAGGCAGCAGUGGGGAAUCUUAGACAAUGGGGGAAACCCUGAUCUAGCCAUGCCGCGUGAGUGACGAAGGCCUUAGGGUCGUAAAGCUCUUUCGCCAGGGAAGAUAAUGACGGUACCUGGUAAAGAAACCCCGGCUAACUCCGUGCCAGCAGCCGCGGUAAUACGGAGGGGGUUAGCGUUGUUCGGAAUUACUGGGCGUAAAGCGCACGUAGGCGGACUGUUAAGUCGGGGGUGAAAUCCCGGGGCUCAACCCCGGAACUGCCUUCGAUACUGGCAGUCUGGAGUUCGAGAGAGGUGAGUGGAAUUCCGAGUGUAGAGGUGAAAUUCGUAGAUAUUCGGAGGAACACCAGUGGCGAAGGCGGCUCACUGGCUCGAUACUGACGCUGAGGUGCGAAAGUGUGGGGAGCAAACAGGAUUAGAUACCCUGGUAGUCCACACCGUAAACGAUGAAUGCCAGUCGUCGGCUCGCUUGCGG
rnacentral:rRNA from 1 species